UACUAGGGGUGCAAGCGUUGUCCGGAAUCAUUGGGCGUAAAGAGUAUGUAGGCGGCUGGAUAAGUCAGGCGUGCAAGCCCACGGCUCAACCGUGGAAUUGCGUUUGAAACUAUUCAGCUUGAGUACAGGAGAGGAAAGCGGAAUUCCCAGUGUAGCGGUGAAAUGCAUUGAUAUUGGGAAGAACACCGGUGGCGAAGGCGGCUUUCUGGUCUGUUACUGACGCUGAGAUACGAAAGCCAGGGGAGCAAAGGGG
rnacentral:rRNA from 1 species